rnacentral:lncRNA from 1 species
AAUACCAGAAAUGUCUUUUGUUUCACUAUAUCACAAAUAUACAGUUGUCUUCAUUUACUGUUGCAGGAAGAUUUCCUUAGAAUAUCUGACAGCUUCAUACAACCCCCACUUCCACCCUGAAACAAACACACUGAAGAUCUUGUGGCAAAAACAAAACAAAAAAUAUCCCACAAACCCCCAGAUACAAAGACAGAAACACUCCGAGCACAGUGAUUGUCUUUACCUUAAGAACUAGAUGCAGUAACACAAACAAGCCCUUUACUGCAGGGAAGAGCUCUCCCCGCCACAGCAAUGACUCAGGCAGAACAAGUAGCAGGUGACAAGAGGGUGGGGGAUUGAAGGUGGGCACUGGAAGCACCAAGUUGCUAUUUGCUGAGGGCU